rnacentral:misc_RNA from 1 species
GUCAGAAAAUGUGCGGAAGCAACAGGUUGUUAAGAGUGAGGCUGAUGCAUCUGGAUCUAGUCAACUUUCUAGUUUACCAAAGGACUCAGAUGCAAAAUCAUGUGGAUCAGAAUCUAGUGUAAAAGACAAAGUGGUUUCCGUGUUAUCUGGUAAAGCUUCAGAUUCUUCAGAUCAAAUGCGUAGUUCGAACAUGGAGGUUUUUGUAUCACAGUCUGAUCUACAACGAGUAAGUUAUACCAUAAAGCGUGAGAAAGCUUUGGAUAAGUUGCAACCAAGGCGGAACCCUGACACUAGUGCCCAUGGGUUGACGUCUGAUCAAGGAACGACUCUCCUCAAGGCACCUGAAAAACCAUCAGAAGAUGGAUAUAACUGGC